UGCGCGGCUUCUUGCUCCUCAGGAGGGCUGGCAAAGUUCACCGGGUUAUAAAGGAAGAUGGAGGCUGAGAGUGGAGGUGGGUUUGAGAAAACUGGGAAAGGCGUGGGUGGGAGACUGAGGGAAAGCAUAUGAAUUUGAGUUGCAUAAACUCUAGCUAAGAAGGUAAGAAGCUAGUAAGUAGCGUUUGGAAAGAGCCCUGCCAGCUGCCACACUGCCUGGCGCCCAUCGGUAUACAGACGGGGGUCACUAAAAGACCACAUCACUGUCAAUUGUUACAAGAACUGCAUAAUUCGAGGAGUGCCUGACAGCUAGUGUGAGGGAGUCCGUGGCACUAGAGUGAACAUAGUGGAAACGGCGCCCUCGGUCCUCACUUGUUUCAUCUGAAGAGUCACCAUCUGGAAUGAGACUUGCGGUGCGCUCUAGACAUACCUGCUGUUUGACCCCCUUGCUAUCAAAUGGAAAAUCCCCUGAACUCUGACCACUUGAUCUUGGGAUCUGUGGCUCUAUGAGGAGAAUGUGUUUCUUCUAUAUUCGGCACAGUCAAGGAUGCUGGAAGAGCCACUGGAAACUUCCAAAGUGAUGUGGGAAACACCAUUGAUGGUAUAUAUGGAAGACAUUAUCAGAGCAACUGACAGCCAUGAGCUGUGUGAAAGCCACCACCAGAGCCACUGAAACCUGAGAAGCCACAUGAGGGACACCUCUGGGGUUACAGGAACCCUCAAAGCUGUCAGUGCUUGAUCCUGAGUGAACACCAUCCCGCCUUUGUGCUGCCUUCACAGCCACACGAAGAUGAAAGUGUCUUAGGAUAUACCCUGGAGCUAUGCCAAACUGCUGGAUUGAAGGUUAUCAGUGCCCUGGAAAGCUCCCAGUGCAAAUGGAAAACUGUGAUACCCUGCAAUCCCUCCUCCCGCUGUACCCCUAAAGCCAAGAGGGGUUCUGAGCAGCACAAUGCUCAGACCAGACCAGUGUAGGAGAGAUUCCUCCCAUCAACAUCCUCAAAACUAUCUCAGCUGAAACUCUAGUGGGAUUUUUUUUUUCUGUUUGAAAUGAUGGUUUCCCUGAGGUCAAGUGGAAAAGCCAUCUUCAGAAACAGGUCUAUUUAGAUCCACUCAUAUUCUACAGAAUUCAUGUGGUCUCUUCAAAGCAUCCCAGGCUCAGUGCACAAACACUGCUGUGACCACUACUGACCCCUGUGGCGGCGGCUGCUGGCUGCUGCUGCUGCUGCGUAAUCAGGGACAUCAGCAAAGUGAGAGAGCAGGGUGAACUGUGACCUUGUAUUAAAAUGACCCAAUGGCUCCUCAUGUGGAUGUGGUGACACUUUGCCUUGAAGAGUGGACAGGUGGCCACAUCUGCAAUAUUUCCUUUGCUGACACCUCCUCUGAAAUCCCCACUAACCAGCCCCUGGUUGCUCAGAAGUCACUAACACCACAGAUCCGCUCAGUGCCUGCUGUCUGCCUGGUUUGAUGAAAAGUCUAUAGCGAGAGUCAAAAUAGACCUGCUGUUUUUAAAGUGAUGCAUAAUCCUGUACACCAUGAUGUGUGUUUCCCUAAGAUGGAAACCACAAAGCGGCAGGGGCACAGCCCACAGCCAAGCCACCUGUCAAGGUCACCCUGGCAGAGAUAACUCCGACACCCUUCUUUUAGAAUGAGAUACAGAAACUAUAACUAUACAAAGACAACUAGGGACAAUGGAUACUUAAACUGCUCAUGGUCCAGCAAGAUGGUUCUCAGCAGGGUACAGAGGUCACUUGCUCUAUGAGCCCAAAGUCAUGAGUUCAAUUCCUUGAACCCACAGUAGAAGGAGAGAACCAACUCACAAAAGUAAUCUUCUCACCCACCCCCAGCACACACAAUAGUAAAUAAAGUCAUAAAAACCGU